AUGCUUCCCUUAGGAGCACAGAUACUAAAAUUGGAAUAAUACAGAGAUGUGGAUGGCCCCUGGGUAAAAAUUCAACAUGCCAAAUUCAUGAAACAUUUCAUACUUGU
rnacentral:snRNA from 1 species